rnacentral:rRNA from 1 species
AUUGAACGCUGGCGGCAUGCUUUACACAUGCAAGUCGAACGGCAGCACAGGGAGCUUGCUCCUGGGUGGCGAGUGGCGAACGGGUGAGUAAUGUAUCGGAACGUGCCUGGUAGUGGGGGAUAACUACUCGAAAGAGUGGCUAAUACCGCAUGAGAUCUUUGGAUGAAAGCGGGGGACCUUCGGGCCUCGUGCUACUGGAGCGGCCGAUAUCAGAUUAGGUUGUUGGUGGGGUAAAGGCCUACCAAGCCUGCGAUCUGUAGCUGGUCUGAGAGGACGACCAGCCACACUGGGACUGAGACACGGCCCAGAGUCCUACGGGAGGCAGCAGUGGGGAAUUUUGGACAAUGGGCGCAAGCCUGAUCCAGCAAUGCCGCGUGCAGGACGAAGGCCUUCGGGUUGUAAACUGCUUUUGUACAGAACGAAAAGUCUCUGGCUAAUAUCUAGAGAUCAUGACGGUACUGUAAGAAUAAGCACCGGCUAACUACGUG